GACGAACGCUGGCGGCGUGCCUAAUACAUGCAAGUAGGACGCUGAAGGAGGAGCUUGCUUCUCUGGAUGAGUUGCGAACGGGUGAGUAACGCGUAGGUAACCUGCCUGGUAGCGGGGGAUAACUAUUGGAAACGAUAGCUAAUACCGCAUAAUAGUAGAUGUUGCAUGACAUUUGCUUAAAAGGUGCAAUUGCAUCACUACCAGAUGGACCUGCGUUGUAUUAGCUAGUUGGUGGGGUAACGGCUCACCAAGGCGACGAUACAUAGCCGACCUGAGAGGGUGAUCGGCCACACUGGGACUGAGACACGGCCCAGACUCCUACGGGAGGCAGCAGUAGGGAAUCUUCGGCAAUGGACGGAAGUCUGACCGAGCAACGCCGCGUGAGUGAAGAAGGUUUUCGGAUCGUAAAGCUCGGUUGUAAGAGAAGAACGAGUGUGAGAGUGGAAAGUUCACACUGUGACGGUAUCUUACCAGAAAGGGACGGCUAACUACGUG
rnacentral:rRNA from 1 species